rnacentral:rRNA from 1 species
AGAGUUUGAUCAUGGCUCAGGAUGAACGCUGGCGGCGUGCCUAAUACAUGCAAGUCGAACGAGGUGCUUUUGUAGCAAUACGAGAGUAUCCUAGUGGCGAACGGGUGAGUAACGCGUUGGUGACCUACCCCAAAGUGUGGGAUAACAGUCCGAGAGGAUUGCUAAUACCGCAUGUGGUCAUUGGAUUUAGAAACUGAUGACUAAAGGAGCAAUUCGCUUUGGGAGGGACCUGCGUCCCAUCAGCUAGUUGGUGAGGUAACGGCUCACCAAGGCGACGACGGGUAGGGGACCUGAGAGGGUGGCCCCCCACAAUGGAACUGAAACACGGUCCAUACACCUACGGGUGGCAGCAGUAGGGAAUAUUGCACAAUGGGCGAAAGCCUGAUGCAGCAACGCCGCGUGUGUGAUGAAGGCCUUCGGGUCGUAAAGCACUUUUCUGGGAGAUGAGAAAGGACAGUAUCCCAGGAAUAAGUCUCGGCUAACUACGUGCCAGCAGCCGCGGUAAUUC